rnacentral:sRNA from 1 species
CUCAGGCCGGUGCUGCGACUGCCGCGAAGAUGAAUCCGCAGGACGAUCUGGACUACCUGGACAUCCCGGCAUUCCUGCGUCGUCAGGCCGAUUGAUGGAAUGUAUCAGGGCUAUGACGGUGAUUGGUGUUCAGCAAAGGCUCGGUCUGCUAUUAUCGCCAGCCUUUGUUGAUACCAGUUCGCAAUUUGCGCUGAAGCGGCCCAAGCCAUGAUUAAACAACGCACACUGAAAAAUAUUAUCCGUGCCACAGGUGUAGGCCUGCAUUCCGGGGAGAAGGUCU